GUAGUCGGAUUCGUAUCAAUCCAUAUGUGUUGGGGUGGAUUGGAGUGUAAUUUAAACUAAAUUCUACCCCAAUCCACUCCAACACAUAUAGAUUUAGGUGAAUCCGGCA
rfam:Sorghum bicolor cultivar BTx623 chromosome 2, whole genome shotgun sequence.